UACGGGGGGAGCAAGCGUUGUUCGGAUUUACUGGGCGUAAAGAGCGCGCAGGCGGUCGGAUAAGUCGAAUGUGAAAGCCCCUGGCUCAACCAGGGAGGGUCAUUCGAUACUGUUCGACUCGAAGGCAGGAGAGGGAAGUGGAAUUCCGGGUGUAGUGGUGAAAUGCGUAGAUAUCCGGAGGAACACCAGUGGCGAAGGCGACUUUCUGGCCUGUUCUUGACGCUGAGGCGCGAAAGCUAGGGGAGCAAACGGG
rnacentral:rRNA from 1 species